AUCUUCGACUGAUUGGCCUUACCUGGGAGGAGUACUUAGGAGCCUGCCAUCAGUCCUUCAGCGCCUGAGUGUUGUUGCCCUAGUGGUAAACACCAAGCCAGAGAAACUUUGCCAGUCUGUUUUUGGUUUUUGAUAAUCCUGUUUAUCUUUCCCUGCUUCCUGUUAGAAACCUGUGAGGUGUGGGCUGUUACCUACGGAGCUGGACUCAGACAUUCUACACCUUCUGUUUGUGAAUUUGGAUUAUUCAUCUCUGACUGUGGCACGGUUUCUAACCUUCCUAACACCUACCUCUGUGAGAACUCUGGACCAAACAUGGGACAAGCUAUUUGGAUUGCCUGACUCCCAAGGCCAGUGGUAUGACCCUCCUGAAUUUCUCUGCUCAAGUGAUCAAUGGACCUGAAGAACCUUCCAACCCUCACUCCUGUAGAACUCUCCUUGUGUGUUUAAAUAAACCUUUGAAACUUG